rnacentral:tRNA from 1 species
GGCUACCUGGCGCAAUGGUAGCGCGUUUGGCUUCGAUCGCCUAACGGCUUCCAACUUCCGUUUCGGGGCGACCAAAAGGCUGCAAGUUCGAUUCCUGCGGUGGUCA